GACGGAGGGGGCUAGCGUUGUUCGGAAUGACUGGGCGUAAAGGGCGCGUAGGCGGUUUAUUAAGUGAGGCGUGAAAGCCCUGGGCUUAACCCAGGAGGUGCGUUUCAUACUGGUAGACUUGAGUACGAGAGAGGAGAGCGGAAUUCCUAGUGUAGAGGUGAAAUUCGUAGAUAUUAGGAAGAACACCAGAGGCGAAGGCGGGUCUCUGGGCCGAUACUGACACUGAGGAGCGAAAGCGUGGGGAGCGAACAGG
rnacentral:rRNA from 1 species